CACUUUGUCUUUAUGGCAAAUGUGAGAUGCAGUGUAUGGAAUGUCAAAUUUCUAGUAUGAGAAAUUAACGAUUUAAGUCCUUCUUAAAUGAGGCCAUUUACCCAUAGAGGGUGCCAGGCCCGUAUAACGUUAAUGAUUACUAGAUGACAUUUCCAAAGAGUCGUGUUGCUUGAUAGUGCAGCACUAAGUGGGUGGUAAACUCCAUCUAAAACUAAAUAUAACCAUGAGACCGAUAGUAAACAAGUACCGUGAGGGAAAGUUGAAAAGAACUCUGAAUAGAGAGUUAAAUAGUACGUGAAACUGCUUAGAGGUUAAGCCCGAUGAACCUGAAUAUCCAUUAUAGAAAAUUCAUCAUUAUGAUUUUAAUAUUUAUAUAAAUAUUAUAAUAAUAGUGUGCAUUUUUUCUAUAUAGGACAUUGUAAUCUAUUAACAUAUAAAUUAAAUUUAUCAUAAGAUCUAAUUGCACAAGUUUAUUCAAAUUAUUUUGCUUGCAAUUAUAACAUAGAAUAAAUGCAUUAGAUUUGAUAAAGUGUUGAUAGAUUUAUAAUAUAUAGUGCUUGAAUAUUUUUAAUAUUCUAUAAUAUCAUAUUAAUUAUUAAUUUUUAUGUUCAUUGUAUGCACUUAUAUGAUUAACAAUGCGAAAGAUUCAGGAUACCUUCGGGACCCGUCUUGAAACACGGACCAAGGAGUCUAACAUAUUUGCAAGUUAUUGGGAAUAAAAAAACCUAAUAGCAAAAUUAACAUAACUUUUUAAUUGGGAUUAGUUUUUAGCCUAUUCUUAUAGUCUAUUAAUUCAAUCCCGGGGCGUUCUAUAUAGUUAUGUAUAAUAAUAUUUAUAUUAUUUAUACCUCUAACUAGAACGUACCUUGAGCAUAUAUGCUAUGACCCGAAAGAUGGUGAACUAUACUUGAUCAGGUUGAAGUCAGGGGAAACCCUGAUGGAAGACCGAAACAGUUCUGACGUGCAAAUCGAUUGUCAGAAUUGCAGUAUAGG
rnacentral:rRNA from 1 species